CCCUUAGAUGUUCUGGGCCGCACGCGCGCUACACUGACGGAGGCAGCGAGCGUGUCCUUCGCCGGCAGGUGCGGGCAAUCUUGCGAGUCUCCGUCGUGCUGGGGAUAGAUGGUUGCAAUUGCCGAUCUUGAACGAGGAAUUCCUAGUAAGCGCGAGUCAUCAGCUCGCGCUGAUUACGUCCCUGCCCUUUGUACACACCGCCCGUCGCUACUACAGAGUGCCCGUGUCCAAGAAACGGUCGGACCUGUGCGGCCUCUCCGGGCGACCGGAGGGCCGUUACGGGGAAGACCCUUUAUUUGACGCGGGUCGAUGAAGUAAAAGUCGUAACA
rnacentral:rRNA from 1 species